UAGCCUGUGAUGAGAAACACAUAUAAAACACACCAUCUUUCGGGACUUAAUGGCCUUCGCAAGAAGUCCUUGCUGAUUUUAUUCUGCAAUUCUGAGGCUU
rfam:Erythranthe guttata cultivar DTN x IM62 scaffold_24_contig_54, whole genome shotgun sequence.